UACGGAGGGUGCGAGCGUUGUCCGGAAUCAUUGGGCGUAAAGGGCGCGUAGGUGGCCACUUCAAGCGUGCGGUGAAAGUCGGGGGCUCAACCCCUGAUCGGCCGUGCGAACUGGGGGGCUGGAGCACUGUAGAGGCAGGCGGAAUUCCGGGUGUAGCGGUGGAAUGCGUAGAGAUCCGGAAGAACACCGAUGGCGAAGGCAGGUCUCUGGGCUGACACUGACGCUCAUGCACGAAAGCGUGGGGAGCAAACAGG
rnacentral:rRNA from 1 species